UCUUAAUCAUCAUCAUUCUGGUAAAAAUGAUCUAUUUUAUGAUCUUGUGUGUAAGUGGUUGUUUGGUAUGUUUUUGUUGUGUUUUUAUCUAUUUUUUAUUAUUGCUUAGGAUCUGUUUUUUUUCCGUUUUUAUUUUUUUUAUAUCUUCUGCACAAAGUUAUACACAGAAAAGGUGAAUAAAUGUGGGGGACCUCUCAUUGUUGUGUUGAUAAGUUAAUCGAUGAUUAAAAGUUAUUCAGGAAAA
rnacentral:misc_RNA from 1 species